GCAACCUCUGCCUCCCAAGUUCAAGUGAUUCUCCUGCCACAGCCUCCUGAGUAGUUGAUGACAGGCACCUGCCACCAUGCCCAGCUAAUUUUUGUAUUUUUAGCAGAGAUGGGGUUUCAUCAUGUUGGCCAGGCUGGUCUCGAACUCCUGACCUCAGGUGAUCCUCCCGCCUCGGCCCCCCAAAGUGCUGCGAUUACAGGCGUGAGCCACCACGCCCGGCCGGAAGAGGAGAUUUGAACACGGACCACAGAGGGCCGGUGUUGUGAGGCUCCAGGGAGGAGACGGCCAUCCACAAGCCAAAGAGAGAGGCCUCAGGAGGAAUCAGCCUUGCCACACCUUGACCGAGGACUUCCGGCCUCCAGAGCUGUGAGCAAUAAAUGGAAGGAGAGUGGAGAAGUUGAGCUGCUUGGAUGCCCUAUGCCCUAUGAGGCCUCUGCCUGAUCCCACAGAGGACUCUGCAACACAGAAGGAAUCACAGAAUCUGCCCUGCCCUGGGUCCGUCAGGAACUUACUGCAGGCAACCAGGGAUUCUGUUUUGUUUCAGAAUUUCAUAAUAGUCCCAUUCACAACAGCCAAAAAUAGAAACGACUGAAGCGUCCACCAACAGGGGAAGGACCGAAUUACAAUAUGACCAGAGACUAAACGCCGGCAGCGGUGAAGACGGAUGGAUCGCUGGCAUUCUGCACAGCACGGGGAUGCCGUCCCCACCAAAGGGGUGAAGCCAUGAACCAAUCGGAGCCAAUCAGAGAACUCCAUCUCCCCAACCACAGCAAUGGAUCACAGCCCGGCCGUCGGUCCCUCCGUGAGAUUGGGUAUAUGGGUGUUGGGAAAUGAAAGCAUUUUCUUUCUCUGGAAUUACCAUCUGUAAGGAUGGGAUGGGUCUGGGGAGAGUCUGCCUGCCUGAGAAACGCAACAAUAAAAACAUUCGCGGAGCCCUUGCUGUGUGCCAGGCCCUGCUCUCCAAAGUUUACAAGCAUGGACUCCUGUUGUCCUCACAAUAACCGCAUGGGGACAGAUAGGAGUGAUGUUCAAAACAUUUAAUAACUGGGCUGGGCGUGGUGGCUCACACCUGUAAUCCCAACACUACGGGAAACUGAGGCAGGAGGAAUGCUUGAGGCCAGGAAUUCAAGACCAGCCUGGGCAACAUAGUGAGACCCUGUCUCUAAAAAAAUUAAUAAAUUAGCCGAGCGUGGUGGUGAGCACCUGUAGUUCCAGCUACUCAGGAAGCUGAGGCGGGAGAAUUGCUUGAGCCCAAGAGGUCGAGGCUGCAGUGAGC
rnacentral:lncRNA from 10 species